AACCCUCCUAGAAUGGCUCCCUUCAGUAGAUAGUGCACCGGCAGGAAGCUCCUGCCUUGUCACUCAGGCACAGACAUGGCUACCCCCUCCCUGCAUCUCGCACCAUCAGAGAAACACGGACCAGAACCAUGUUAGGGUGACUGUUCUCAUCAAAGGACAAAAGUCACAGGUGCUGGUGAGAAUGUGGGGAACCUGUUCCCAGCACUAUCUCCUCCUUCAGGCAGAACAAGGUUAAUCCCCACAACAUGAGACCCCUACAGUUCCACAGCCCUAACUAAUCACAACUGUGGUAGAGUCUUCAUUUUCAGAACACUUUUCAUUUUCAGGCACCACGGUUGUAAUUUUUAAGGUGUUAGAACUUUUUCUCUGUAGAAUGGAUCACAUAUGAAAAGGUGGUGUUAAGAAGGUAAAUCAAUGACAAAUUAUCACUCCGAAAUCUCAGGAUAAAGUAUGAGCCUGUACACUGGGAUUCGGGGCACCCGUGGGCCUCCUUCAACACAUCCUCAUGUCAUGAGACCGCACCUUUCCGGCUUCCUGCCUGGUUCUCCCAGGUGGACCAUCAGGUGUGGCACCUGCACGGCUGGCCACUGCCGACCACUGCUCCUCCUCUGCUCCAGGGCGUCUGGCGAGUCGAGGUAGGCGAGCACGAGAUGGCAGAGAUUUUCUCCUCUGCUAAGAAGGAAGCUGCCGGUGCUCUUCAGAGGCCCUGCAGAUGGAGGAAGCACACUCCACUUCCCGCUCUCUGGUGAGGGAUGCAACCUAAUUAAGGGUAAUUAACCCAACAGCAGGUGCGAGCGGUCCCGGGGCUGCCUCGCUGACACGCCUCGGGCACAGGAGCAAACUGGGGAAGGAGGUGGCAGCCCUGGGCCCCAGGACCCCAACCCCUCAGUGCAGCCCACCAGCCUGGGGAGCGACAGCCUCUUCCUCUGCGAAGCGGGGUUGCGGGCGGUGAUUUCCUGGAGCAGCCCAAGGAUUAAAUGAGACAGAGUCAGCAAACGCCUCAGCCAGGCUAGAAACCAUUCGGGCCUCUAUUAUUGAUCGUGCUCAGGAUCAAUUAAGUCAAGACUUCAAGUCCCUCUGAAGAUGCUCGUGGUUUUACACGCCCACCCCUAAGGCAUCUGCUCUGGCCCACACGUGCCCUGACUUCUUGUCACCAAAGGGAUUUCCGUAACAUGACUGUGCUGGUCCUGUGGCUGGAACCCUCUCCCAGGCUCUCUUUACAUGGCUGGCAUCAACCCUCCCUCCACUAUUUGGUGCUGUAACAUGGCUGUGCUGAUCCUGUGGCUGGAACCCACUCCUGAGCUCUUUUUACUGGGCUGGCGUCAACCCUCCCUCCACUAUUCAGUGCACGCCCCUCUCCAGCCACCUUGUCUGAGGCUCCACCGUGGCCGGGGCUGGAUGCUGUUCUUGCUCCUGAAUCAUCCAUCACCAGCAACCCCUCACCCUAACACGUGGUACCCCCAUGGCUCCCUCUGUCUUGGCAUGAAGGAAACGUGCACACAUCUCGCUGUGGUGAUUCAUGCGUGAAGACGAGCCGGCCGAGCAAUCCUGUGCCCCACAAGCAAGCGCUUUGUGUUCUUCUGAUGCCACCUGAUGCAGGGGCCCAGAAAGGGUUUGUUUUUAGAAGAUUCCCACAGUCAGGUCCAUCACUGGCAUCCUCACCAAAGGCCAACUCAACAGUGGCAGAUGCAGCCCCAACAUGGGUACGGGGACCCCCCGAACUGAUUUCCAAUAAACAACCACUUGCACACUCCUGAAUACAGCAGACACCUGCCAGUCAUCACCGUUAACCAAGGCCCUGCCAGUCAUCACCGUUAACCAAGGCCCCGUCAGUCAUCACCGUUAACCAAGGCCCAGUCAGUCAUCACCGUUAACCAAGG
rnacentral:lncRNA from 1 species